rnacentral:misc_RNA from 1 species
AAAACCACUCAAGCUCUUUUGCUUGGUCAUGGAAGAGGAGUAUGCUAGUCAUUCUCCCUUUCGAAAUUCAAAGGCGGAAAGUCUCAUGUGCCCCGGCGUAGUAAGUUUUCUUUCGCUUGGAACAUGAGGUGAUCCUGCCACAAACCCCCAAUUUUUCUA